AACGAACGCUGGCGGCAGGCUUAACACAUGCAAGUCGAACGCCCCGCAAGGGGAGUGGCAGACGGGUGAGUAACGCGUGGGAAUCUACCCAGUUCUACGGAACAACACAGGGGAAACUUGUGCUAAUACCGUAUACGCCUACCGGGGGAAAGGAAUUUAAUCGGAAUUGGAUGAGCCCGCGUAAGAUUAGCUAGUUGGUGGGGUAAGUGGCCUACCAAGGCGACGAUCUUUAGCUGGUCUGAGAGGAUGAUCAGCCACACUGGGACUGAGACACGGCCCAGACUCCUACGGGAGGCAGCAGUGGGGAAUAUUGGACAAUGGGCGCAAGCCUGAUCCAGCCAUGCCGCGUGAGUGAUGAAGGCCUUAGGGUGUAAAGCUCUUUCAG
rnacentral:rRNA from 1 species